GUUGUAUAGUCAAGUAAUUAAGUGCAUGUGGUGGAUGCCUUGGCAGUCAGAGGCGAUGAAAGACGUAAUAGCCUGCGAUAAGCUCCGGGGAGGCGGCANAAUGAGUUACUAGCGAUUAAACUGAAUCAAGCGUUUUGGUAUAUGAAUCUAAUUGAAGCUGUACAGUGAUUAAGUUCACAGUGCUCUAAACUGUUAUGUUGGUUGAUCUGACUUGUAGGAUCAAACGACUGUUUGGGGUUGUAUAGUCAAGUAAUUAAGUGCAUGUGGUGGAUGCCUUGGCAGUCAGAGGCGAUGAAAGACGUAAUAGCCUGCGAUAAGCUCCGGGGAGGCGGCAAAUAUCCUUUGAUCCGGAGAUUUCUGAAUGGGGGAACCCACUUACCAUAAGGUAGGUAUCAUACACUGAAUACAUAGGUGUAUGAGGCAAACGAGGGGAAGUGAAACAUCUCAGUACCCUUAGGAAAAGAAAUCAAUUGAGAUUCCCUCAGUAGCGGCGAGCGAANNNNNNNNNNNNNNNNNNNNNNNNNNNNNNNNNNNNNNNNNNNNNNNNNNNNNNNNNNNNNNNNNNNNNNNNNNNNGGUGACUGCGUACCUUUUGUAUAAUGGGUCAGCGACUUAUAUUCAGUAGCAAGGUUAACCGUAUAGGGGAGCCGUAGAGAAAUCGAGUCUUAAUAGGGCGUUUAGUUGCUGGGUAUAGACCCGAAACCGGGUGAUCUAUCCAUGAGCAGGUUGAAGGUUAGGUAACACUGACUGGAGGACCGAACCCACUGUCGUUGAAAAGCCAGGGGAUGACUUGUGGAUAGGGGUGAAAGGCUAAUCAAACUCGGUGAUAGCUGGUUCUCCCCGAAAGCUAUUUAGGUAGCGCCUCGGACGAAUACCAUUGGGGGUAGAGCACUGUUUCGGCUAGGGGGUCAUCCCGACUUACCAAACCGAUGCAAACUCCGAAUACCAAUGAGUACUAUCCGGGAGACAGACUGCGGGUGCUAACGUCCGUAGUCAAGAGGAAAACAAUCCAGACCGCCAGCUAAGGCCCCAAAAUCAUAGUUAAGUGGGAAACGAUGUGGGAAGGCAUAGACAGCUAGGAGGUUGGCUUAGAAGCAGCCACCCUUUAAAGAAAGCGUAAUAGCUCACUAGUCGAGUCGGCCUGCGCGGAAGAUGUAACGGGGCUAAAACUAUGUGCCGAAGCUGCGGAUGUAUACAUUGUAUACGUGGUAGGGGAGCGUUCUGUAAGCCGAUGAAGGUGGAUUGAGAAGUCUGCUGGAGGUAUCAGAAGUGCGAAUGCUGACGUGAGUAACGACAAAGCGGGUGAAAAACCCGCUCGCUGAAAGACCAAGGGUUCCAGUCCAACGUUAAUCGGGGCUGGGUGAGUCGACCCCUAAGGCGAGGCCGAAAGGCGUAGUCGAUGGGAAAUUGGUUAAUAUUCCAAUACUUCAGUGUAAUGCGAUGAGAGGACGGAGAAGGUUAAGUCAGCCUGGCGUUGGUUGUCCAGGUGGAAGGAAGUAGGCAUGCAUCUUAGGCAAAUCCGGGGUGCUCUAUGCUGAGAUCUGAUAGCAAGCUGUACUUGUACAGUGAAGUGGCUGAUACCAUACUUCCAGGAAAAGUCUCUAAGCUUCAGUUACACUGGAAUCGUACCCGAAACCGACACUGGUGGUCAGGUCGAGUAGACCAAAGCGCUUGAGAGAACUCUGCUGAAGGAACUAGGCAAAAUGGUACCGUAACUUCGGGAGAAGGUACGCUGCUUUUGGUGAUGGAACUUGCUUCCUGAGCUGAGAGCAGCCACAGAAACCAGGCCCCUGCAACUGUUUAUUAAAAACAUAGCACUCUGCAAACACGAAAGUGGACGUAUAGGGUGUGAUGCCUGCCCGGUGCUGGAAGGUUAAUUGAUGGGGUUAGCGUAAGCGAAGCUCUUGAUCGAAGCCCCAGUAAACGGCGGCCGUAACUAUAACGGUCCUAAGGUAGCGAAAUUCCUUGUCGGGUAAGUUCCGACCUGCACGAAUGGCAUAAUGAUGGGGGCGCUGUCUCCAGCAGAGGCUCAGUGAAAUCGAAAUCGCCGUGAAGAUGCGGUGUACCCGCGGCUAGACGGAAAGACCCCGUGAACCUUUACUGCAGCUUGACAUUGAACUUUGAUCUUACGUGUGUAGGAUAGGUGGGAGGCUUUGAAAUCAGGACGCCAGAUCUGAUGGAGCCGUCCUUGAAAUACCACCCUGGUAAGAUUGAGGUUCUAACUCUGUCCCGUUAUCCGGGACGAGGACCAUGUCUGGUGGGUAGUUUGACUGGGGCGGUCUCCUCCUAAAGAGUAACGGAGGAGUACGAAGGUGCGCUCAGCGUGGUCGGAACUCACGCGUAGAGUAUAAAGGCAAAAGCGCGCUUAACUGCGAGACCCACAAGUCGAGCAGGUACGAAAGUAGGUCUUAGUGAUCCGGUGGUUCUGUAUGGAAGGGCCAUCGCUCAACGGAUAAAAGGUACUCUGGGGAUAACAGGCUGAUACCGCCCAAGAGUUCAUAUCGACGGCGGUGUUUGGCACCUCGAUGUCGGCUCAUCUCAUCCUGGGGCUGAAGCAGGUCCCAAGGGUAUGGCUGUUCGCCAUUUAAAGAGGUACGCGAGCUGGGUUUAGAACGUCGUGAGACAGUUCGGUCCCUAUCUACCGUGGGCGUUGGAAAUUUGAGAGGAUCUGCUCCUAGUACGAGAGGACCAGAGUGGACGAACCUCUGGUGUACCGGUUGUGACGCCAGUCGCAUCGCCGGGUAGCUAUGUUCGGAAGGGAUAACCGCUGAAAGCAUCUAAGCGGGAAGCCUACCUCAAGAUAAGAUUUCCCCGAGACUUUAUGUCUCCUAAAGAGCCGUUGAAGACUACGACGUUGAUAGGUUGGAUGUGGAAGCAUGGUGACAUGUGAAGCUGACCAAUACUAAUUGCUCGUGAGGCUUGACUAUACAACACCCAAACAGUUG
rnacentral:rRNA from 1 species